UUUCAUUGGGAGAACUGCUCUCUCCACACAUUGUUUUCCGUCUACGCUAACAAAGCGGGCCUUGCAAGGGCGUUGUCCUCCUGUGCGAGACUGGCUUUUGAUGUCGUGGGCUAGGCCGCCGUCGGCAGUUGCUUUUUAAACGCUCUCCGUGCAGCCCUUAAUGUCGCCUGAUUCGAAAUGUUUUUGUUUUGAAGGGAAGCCAUGUUUUUUUAUGCGUUGAUGGGCGCCGCCAUGUUCCCCCCGGUCCAGUAUGGCGGCCCGAAAAAAUGGCGUUGGUGCGGCCGGGGGAAAGAUGGCGGCGGGUGCGCGAGCGAGCGAGCGCGCUGCUGCUGGCUCGCGGGGUAGGCCGCAAUGGCGCAGUUUAACGCGGAGGGAGAUAACGGUUAGUGGGGGGGAGGGGGAGCUAGGAGCGGGAAAGGCGACGAGGCUUUAACAUAACCUCACCGCGGUCUUGGAAUGGAAUGAUUAUAUUCACAGAAGAGAAAACGAAGCAAUGUAGGAAUCUCUGUAUAUGUGAAAGGACUGGCACUCCAUCCAGGGUAUACCCCACAAUUGUCAUGUGCUGCCUGACCUAGACUCCAGGCCUGGCUGGGACACUGACCAGGAAAAGUGCUUAGAAGAUGGAUGUUUGUAAGAGGGAGUGUGUGUAGAAAUUUUUACAUAUGCAGAAUUGGGCUGUAACCGGAUUCUUUCAUUGUAUGUUAAAAAAAAAAAAGGUCACGCAGCAGUAAACAAGUAAUUUAAAGGUAGUCUUCAAUGUAGUGAUUAUUAAAUUGCACUAGUGAACAAAAGGUCCCUUUCCAAUGUUUUAUUAUUUAAUCUAAUUUAUCUUAAACCUCCCUGCCAUAUUACUCUGUGGUGGGUCAUAAAGUUAAUGUAUAUGAACUAGUAAUGUUUUCCUCCACUAUUUUGUUAAAAAAAUCUUAUUUAAUGUGAUACUGGUUGGUCAUUUUGAAUUAUUUCUGUAUGUUCAGUAGGUACAGAGCCUCUCUGCUGUUUCGUUGUAUUUGUCCAUAGAAGAAUUUUGGUUUCUCUUUCAAGCUGGCAUUUUCAUUUCCUCUCUUGGGCCUGCAAAAUAGUUUGUGCGCAGAGGUGCGAUGUGCUAAAUGCAUAAAGUAGCAUUGAAAAGUAAAGCUAGGGUAAUACUCUGCACGGUUAAUAAAUCAUGUCAAUAAAUCAUGCUUAUUCCAUUUUUAAUGUAGGAAAUGUGUUUUGAGGAAGUCAAGCAUAAGCUCAUUGGUUACCCUAAAUAGUAUGCUGAAUGCUGUAGUUGACAGUGCACCAUGAGAACCUGCUUAUUGUGUGUGUGGGGGGGUGUACUGCUCAUUACCACUGGUGUUUUUUCAUUGCUAAAUCGCUGUUGGCAGGAAGGGUGAUAAGCUGUAUGGUGACAAGUAUUAAAUUGCAGUUGUACUCAUUUGGCAACUCUGAGUAAGCCAGAUGGUAAUUUUAGUUUUCACGUUGACAUUUUGUGUUUUCGUCAGUUCACUGUUAAAAAAAAAAAAAAAGUAAAUUCAUAUCAAUUGACAACUUGAAAUGCACAAUAUUAAAAUUACUAAAAUCUUGUUCUGUGGCAACUUAAAUGUUUGGGCAACAUGGUUUAGUAAUGAUAGAGCUGCACAUGUGCGUAACUGCAAGCGCCACUGCUGUUAUUCCUGAGUAAUAUGCUAUUUUUAUUCCUAGAAUUGGCAUAAAUAACCAUGCAAGUCAGUAUGCAGUGAUAAAUGCAUUUGUGAUGCAUUUGAUAUGACAUGUAUUGCUUUUAGUGUUCCUUGCUGGAGUUUGUGAAGUGUACAUUUCUGCUUUUCUUUGACAUUUUCAAACGCUGUCUUUCAAAGUUGCUGAAAAAUAUGAAAGGGGGCACUGCAUUUUUGUUUAUGGAUUUGGUAAAAGUCAGCUGGCAGUUCUUGCAAUGAGUAAAAUUUUCCAAAUGUGUGCCAGUGUAAGAAUUGUCUGAGCGUAAACAUAAAUUUCCGUUUCGAAAUGAGCCAAUCUUCAAUUUAGCGAGGUGGAAAAUGGCGAGGGCCUCAGCUUGGCCCAGUAGCCCCUGAAGGCUUUGUGGUGUUUCCAGACCUUGCAAGCAAAGCAAGACAGCCCGGUUUGGCUCACUCGCUUCCCUGUAACAUUUUGCAUGUGACUGCAGAUUUCAAAAGCUAGAAAUGCCUCCACUUUGCAGAAGAGGCUGAUGAGCAGUGUCAAGUCCUCCUUUAGGCCAAACUGCAACCAGGAUGCAGUUGCAAGCCAAUGAUUUUGUUUUUUGUAACUGCUGAGUAAACUGAAUUCACAGGAGUUGUGAUAAUGCCAGGCAUCAUGGUCCAUGUAGUUUUAAUAUGACCCCUGUAUCUCACAUGAUUGGAUCAUUCUCAGUGUGGUAGAAUCAAUCAGUCACAGCACUAUUUAUGCAGUGUCUGAUAAAGUGGAGUUAACAGAUCACUCCCCACACAAGGGGAUUUUCUUUUAGUCAGUGUCUCGUGGCUGGUUGCUACAUCCUAAAUAUGUAGAGUUUGAGAGUAACAAGUUUUUCACACGUGUUUGAUAACUACGAAAAAAAGCACUUGGAAUAAAAUCACUGAUUCUCUCAUCUUAUGUUACUGCACAUUAAACAGGUCUGUGGGUUAGAGUUAGAAAUUGAAACCUUUUGUCAUUGCACAUGAUGUUUAGUGUAUGAUACUCCAUGGUGCUGACAACAUACGAAGAAUAUCAUACAUAGAUGCAUAAUUAAUUAAAUUUCUGAUAAACCUACAUGUAUACUCAAGCCAUUUCAGGCCUUUGAAUAUAUGGAUUGAGUGUCAGUAACCGAAACCAGACAUUUUUCCUGUUGUGGGUUUCAUUUAUCAGAAACAAAACAAUCUUUCAUACAUACAUACAUACAUACACCUUCAGUGGAGGGUUCUCAGGGUCUGAUGUUCAGUGGUAGUAAAAAAAUAUAUAUAUAUUUGCCCAAAUAACUGUACUGUCAGUAUAAAAGUAUAACGCAUGACCAACCUCAUACCAAAUAAGAUAUUUUUGAAGAGGAGUCUUAUUUGAAUGGCAAAGUAUUUGUAUUGGUGUGGCAUCGAGUCAGGUUUACCUCUGUCUUUUGCCCCCCUCCCAAAAUAAGAUGUGUGUGUGGCUGGAUAGUUGUUUUUUCUGUAGUAUAUUUUUAAAUGUAAAUCAUUAUCGUCAGUUAAACAAGAUACAGAUUAAUAACUCUUGUCCGUCAUGUGCUGUACCCAUUUAACACAGUGCAGAUAUCUGACUAGCUGUACUAAUAAGGACAGGAUUUAAUUUGACCUGCAGCAGGCGUGUUCGUGCCUUCACAUGAUCAGAGUCCUUUCUGUCAUUUGGAGCUGGGGUGUUGGUCACCUUCAUUCUUUGCAUUCUAAGUCCUGUUAAGGGUUAGUAUUUGAAUGUUGCUCACCCAAUUGAAACAUGCAACACACUCUCACCAUGCCUUUAGGCUUUCCUUAGAUGGUGUGUCUACAUUAAGGAGGUAAUGGCAGCCAGCCAUGUUCGGCAUGUGAAGUUUUUCGUCUGAAUGGCUGUUCAUUAAUUAUGCAAUUAAUAUAAUCAAGUGGCACCCAGCUGUCUAGAUAACAAACAGUAGUGUAGCAGUGUGACUAAAUGAAUAUAAAUAGUUACAUGUAUUUGUACUAAAUUGGUAGCAAAACUUUCAUAAUAUUGUCUGAAAAUGUACAAAUUUUGCCAAUAAGCAGGUGGGGUUCUUAAAUCUGCAUGGGUUUUGACUUGCCCAAGUUAAGUGUAAAAUGCUGAAUUUGCAUUUUGUUCGCAUCUUGAAAGCUUUCAUUUCCAUAUAGUGUUCUUAGGAUGUUGUACAAUAGUUGACUUGUUAUAGUGUGAUUUAACAUCUAACUUUAUUGUAGGAGAAUAAACCAGCAUCAUUUUGGUACUUUCAGGACCAAAGUCUGAAUUGACUGGUAACUGGCGAGCUGAUUACAGGGGAACAGUAUCAAACAAGGAAUUUUGUAAUUGUUUAUGCCUUAUCAAUUCAGUAGACAGACUGUCAGCCAUGGAAUGUAGUUUUUAUUUAUUGAUUUUUUUUAUAGUAAUCGGUGAUGCAAAACUAGUGAUUGUUUAGAUUCAUCAGAGGUCUAAAUACAAAUAGGUUAGUUUUCAAUUUUUACAUGUUUCUUAUUGCUGGGAGUUGGACAUGACUACAGCAGUCUAAAAAGAGAGCUCCUAUUUCUUGUUAAAUCGAUUUGUACAAUCCUAUUUUAAUUUUUAUUUAUUUUUUUGCUGCAUUCAAGCUGAACGCUAACGCUGCCACUCAGCGGGUGUGAGCACAUGCUGUGUGACGUCAUGCGCAUACCCUUUGCAGUAGGAGCAGCGUAAGAACAUUAGAUAAGAGGGUGAUGAUCUGGAAGUAUUUUACGCUUUUAAGGCUAUUUCCGCACUAAUGAGUUAAACUUCUUUUUAUGGGAGUUUCCGAAAGAAAAGAUCUGCUUCCGCACUACUUGUUAUUAGUGUUGAAAAAGACUUGUGUUCACACUGCUCAGUCUAAAAGGCAAAUGACGUAGCUUACAACUACACAAAUAAUUAGCUUUAGCAUUUGAGGAAUUGUAUGUAUUGUAUAUGAGGGGUUGUUAAUGUAUAUAUUUGACAUUUUCUCAAAUGUGUCUCAAACACAAAGCCGUACAUAAAAGGAGCCACCACAGCAACAACACAGGGAUCCAGAAAUGUCCACUCACUCUCUUCCCCUCAGUUUCAGUGCACUCUUGUCUUACUCUAAUGUUCAGUGGCUGGAUAUCUUUAUCAUAAGCUAGAGCUGAGCCAAAUAUGUUUUGAGCUUCACAAUAGUUGUGAACAGCAUACACAGUAGACAAAACAUGAUUUAUCUGCAUCAAGUAAGCAAAACAGCAUAUGCCAGGUACUGACGGUCCUGUACAUCCUCCAUGUCCACAUGUCUAAACCCAUGCGUUCACACUGAUGCAUUUACGGGAAGAUUAGCUAUCAGACAGCCGUGAAAUUUUUCUCCACUUCUGGGGAAAAAAAGAUCCGCAGUAGUCUGGACAGACAGCUAACUUGGAAGAAAAUUACUUGCUAAAUGAAAACAUAUUAAUGUGGACAUACCCUGGGAACAACUCUUAGCACAGCGAUUUGCAAUCUUUGUAAAAACAGUUAUGAGAGGUGGAAGGUAGCAUUUAGUGGAAAAUUCCACUAAACGAAGUGCAUGCAAUUUUGUGAGAACACAAGUAAUAUGGAAAAAAAAAAACAGUCGCUAGCUUGGGCUGCUUUGCGCACUCGCUACAGC